AUACUUACCUGGCAGGGGAGAUACCAUGAUCACGAAGGUGGUUUUCCCAGGGCGAGGCGUAUCCAUUGCACUCCGGAUGUGCUGACAGAGCGUUACCGGCAGGUGGUGCCCUGAAUGUGGAUCUGUCUUAACCGCCUUAUUAGCCAGAUAGUGUCCUCCAUCACUGC
ensembl:snRNA U1 U1 spliceosomal RNA